rnacentral:rRNA from 1 species
UAAAUGCCUGGCGGCAGGCCUACCAUGCAAGUCGAAUGGUAACAGGAAACAGCUUGCUGUUUCGCUGACGAGUGGCGGACGGGUGAGUAAUGUCUGGGAAACUGCCUGAUGGAGGGGGAUAACUACUGGAAACGGUAGCUAAUACCGCAUAACGUCGCAAGACCAAAGAGGGGGACCUUCGGGCCUCUUGCCAUCAGAUGUGCCCAGAUGGGAUUAGCUAGUAGGUGGGGUAACGGCUCACCUAGGCGACGAUCCCUAGCUGGUCUGAGAGGAUGACCAGCCACACUGGAACUGAGACACGGUCCAGACUCCUACGGGAGGCAGCAGUGGGGAAUAUUGCACAAUGGGCGCAAGCCUGAUGCAGCCAUGCCGCGUGUAUGAAGAAGGCCUUCGGGUUGUAAAGUACUUUCAGCGGGGAGGAAGGGAGUAAAGUUAAUACCUUUGCUCAUUGACGUUACCCGCAGAAGAAGCACCGGCUAACUCCGUGCCAGCAGCCGCGGUAAU